GUCAGCACGUGGACCAAAGGAAAGAAAGGCGACUCUCACUAGCCAAAAUUUAAAACCAAAGGAUAUAUCUCAAAAAUUCUGAAAAAUGAGAGGAACGACACGAGCUCACCGGACGUUGCCAGGGCUUGGACGUGGCGGUGGGUUGAGUAAAAAGAACAGAAAGACGGUAUUGGACAAGAGUGAGCAAAUAAUGCUUUAGCGAAAAGGAUUAUAUUGGCCAUUUAGAAAGAAGGCUAAAGUUCGUUAUAUUCCUAUUCAAGUUCCUGUUCUUACUUACGAAAGUGCGAUAUUUGAAGGUCGAGUUAACUUUUUGGAACCUGGUAAAUACGAUGUAGCAGUAGAUGAGACUAAUCAGUUCAUCGUUGGAUUGAUGGUGUUGGGACUUAUGUGUCCUUUCGUGGAACGCAAAAAGGAACAUCGAUAUGCCUAUGUUAGAGUUAAAAUGCUCAUAGAAGGGAACAAGGUUGUAAAGACUGAAACAAUAUUGCAAUCAGAGUCUGUGAAUAAGCUGUACUACAGAAAAUUAUCAAGGAAAGAGAGAAAACAAAUUCGUGACGCUACGCUAUUAGCACCAAUCGUUGAUAAAGAGCAGCCGAAAUUCGAUCCCACAAAAACCUAUUGGGUAAAAUAUGUUUAUGUUCGUCAUACUCAGACCAGACCAUCUCGUUUCCAUGCUUGACGCUGACCAGAUCGUCUCACCUCGACCUCCCUAAAAGUAUAAUUUUUUUCUGGUCAACCUCAGGCUAGACCUCAAGCUUAAUCGCUACUAAUUAUUGGCUGGUUAGCCCCAAGAUAUUGUCUGAUUAAUCACUAGAUGGAGGCCAGUCAGCUUCUGACUGGAGUUGUUUAACUUUUUCGAUAACUUGGAAGAAAAUCAUUUUAAUUAUGAUUGUAUUAAGAUAAUCAUCUCAAAACUUGGACCCGAUGAGACUAUUGAGGUCACAGUUAAUCAAAAAAUGUAAAUGAAAAUGAAAAAAAAAAACGAAAUACGUAACCGAAAUUCUAAGCGUCUUCGAGACGUGUCAAAGGAUAUAUUGAAGAACCUUAUGUGUCCUUUCAUGAUUUAGAAAUUCGUCUUUAAGAUUUUUCAAAAUAUAUGGGUUAAAAAUAUGAUAUACCUCAUGUAUAAGAUGAACAUUUUCUAUAAUGGGAAUUUAACAUUACUAUUUAUAAUUAAAUUGUUGGCGUUUUCGAUUCGCAUAGAUUGUCCUAAUAAUGGUCGUUUUAUGAUGUUUAAUAAUAAAUCAUUAGCAAAUGAUAGUUAAUAAAGGUCACAUACUUUAUAUCAGGAAAAGUUGUAAGCAACAUUAUUUUGUAUUAUUAAUAGUUUUUUCACUAUAAUAAAAAAUGAACGUGCACGCCUAAAGUAAUAUUAAUGACACAAAUUAUUUUAUCAAAUGAUCUGAGAUUUUCUAAAUAAAUGAAGAAUAGCAUUAGACGCGUGUGUCUAAUAAUCAAAGUUUUAUGUCCUCAUUACAUUUUCUAUUUUCUUA